rnacentral:lncRNA from 1 species
AUGACAGACUUCAUGUGUUUAGGUUGUACAACAACAGGACUAUCUUACAAUAGCAGAACUUUUAGUAAGACGUUGCAGACUUGUCCAUACCUGUGUGGCCGUCACAGAGUCAUUCUGGAAGCUGAAGAGAGAUAUAAAAAGAAACUUCAGAAAUCAUCUGGCUCUAACAAAGGACAUGCAACUUAUGAGAAAAUAGUGCUGACUCCAGUGAAGAAAGGAAAACUGCUAGUAGAGACAUCUUUAAAGAGCAAACAGGAUAAUUUCCAAAGUAUUCUUUUGACUCCAAUUAGAAAAAGCAAACCCAAUACUUUGAAUAGAUAUGAACAUAAUAAAAAUUCUCAGUUAACUGAAGAAUAUAACUUGCAAC